rnacentral:lncRNA from 1 species
CAGAGUAUUCCAGUUGUAGUCCCGAACGACAAAACUGAAAGUAAAACUCCAAGCAUUACAAACAAUAAUGCUGCUCACUUUUCAGAAGUUGAGGAAAACCCUGAAGAACCUGCAGUAAAAGAAAAAACUGAAAAACCAGUUCUUGAAGAGAAACCUGAAGAACCAACAGUUGAAGAGAAAUCUGAAGAACCAGUUGAGGAGAAACCUGAAGAACCAACAGCUGAAGAGAAACCUGAAGAACCAGCAACUAAAGAAAAACAAGUGCUAGUAGGGGAGGAAACAGCUGAAGAACUAGCGCUUGAAGAGAAACCUGAAGAACUAACGAUUGAACAGACAGAUGAAGAACUAGUUGUUGAAGAUAAAACUGAAAAACCACCAAAUAAAGAGGAGAGACCUGAAACGGUAACUCUCCUUUAGCAGUGUCACAGAGUUUAUCCAUCCUAUUAGUUCUAUAUGUGCAACGAAUUCAUAUCUGUUUAUCUAUUGAAAUACUAAGUGAAAAUUCAAAUUUUCUUGCAGAAUUUGCCCAUUGCAGACUCAAAGGACCAGACUGACAAUGCAAUUCCAUGCGAUACCAACAAUGAUAUUGCUGACUAUGCAACAGUUGAGGAAAAACCUGAAGAAACAGUAGUUGAAGAAAAACAUGAAGAACCUGCAAUUGAAAAGAAAUUUGAAGAAUCAACAGUUAUGGAGAAACCUGAAGAACCAGCAGUGGAAGAAAAACCUGAAGAACCAACAGUUAAAGAGGAACCUGAAAAAUCAGUGAUGGAAGAGAAACCUGAAGAACCAAUUGUUGAGGAGAAACUUGAAGAACCAACUGUUGAAGAGAAACCUGAAAAAUCACUGAUUGAAGAAACACCUGAAGAACCAAUAUGGGAAGAAACACCUAAAGAACUAGCAUUUGAAGAGAAACCAGAAGAACCAGCAGUUGAAGAGGAGAAACCUGAAAAGGUAACUCUUUUGGAAGAGGUGAGUAUCAAGCAUUAGCACAUAGUUUAUCCAUCAUGUUAUUUCUGUAUGUGCAUCGAUUCACAUCUGCUUAUCUAUUGAAAGUCUAAAUGAGACUUUAAAUUCUUCUUGCAGAAUAUACCAGCUGUAGAUUUCAACGACAAGACUGACCGUGAAAUUCCAUGCGAUACCAACAAUGAUAUUGCUGACUAUGCAACAGUUGAGGAAAAACCUGAAGAACCGGUAGUUGAAGAAAAACAUGAAGAACCUGCAAUUGAAAAGAAAUUUGAAGAAUCAACGGUUAUGGAGAAACCUGAAAAACCAGUGGUUAAGGUACAACCUGAAGAACCAGCAGUGGAAGAAAAAGUUGAAGAACCAACAGUUAAUGAGGAACCUGAAAAAUCAGCGAUGGAAGAGAACCCUGAAGAAUCAAUUGUUGAGGAGAAACUUGAAGAACCAACUGUUGAAGAGAAACCUGAAAAAUCACUGAUUGAAGAAACACCUGAAGAACCAAUAUGGAAAGAAACACCUAAAGAACUAGCAUUUGAAGAGCAACCAGAAGAACCAGCAGUUGAAGAGGAGAAACCUGAAAAGGUAUCUCUUUUGGAAGAGG